rnacentral:rRNA from 1 species
CCUACGGGAGGCAGCAGUGAGGAAUAUUGGUCAAUGGGCGCUAGCCUGAACCAGCCAAGUAGCGUGAAGGAAGACUGCCCUAUGGGUUGUAAACUUCUUUUAUAUGGGAGUAAAGUGCAGUAUGUAUACUGGUUUGCAAGUACCUUAUGAAUAAGGAUCGGCUAACUCCGUGCCAGCAGCCGCGGUAAUACGGAGGGUGCGAGCGUUAUCCGGAUUUAUUGGGUUUAAAGGGAGCGUAGGCGGGUUGUUAAGUCAGUUGUGAAAGUUGGCGGCUCAACCGUAGAAUUGCAGUUGAUACUGGCAUGCUUGAGUGCAGUAGAGGUAGGCGGAAUUCGUGGUGUAGCGGUGAAAUGCUUAGAUAUCACGAAGAACACCGAUUGCGAAGGCAGCCUGCUGGACUGUAACUGACGCUGAUGCUCGAAAGUGUGGGUAGCAAACAGGAUUAGAUACCCCAGUAGUC